AUAAUGCAUAUGCUGAUAUGCAUGCAUUAUAAGUUAUAACAUUACAAGUAGCAAUCUCUCUCUGUAUGACGACUAAGCUAGACCUAUAUUACAGGUAAAUUUUCUAAAAUUAGUAAAUAAACAAAACUGAUACCAUAUAGGCUUAUACAUCGUCUCUCUACAAGGGAACAACGAAGAUUACAUGAAGAGAAGGCUUAAGAUUAAGAAAUAUAUGCAAAUAAUCUCAGGCGUUCAAUUUGAAAAGGCGUUGAGAUCGAAAUCAAAAGUAAUGAGGAAUAUUAUAAUUCUUCUGGUUAUCUUGACCAUUUUAUCAGGUAAUAUUAUAUAUUGUUCUUGAUCUAUGAUCUAGUUUCUCUUUCUUUCCCCUUUCUCUCCUUUUCUUUUCUCUUUGACAAAAUGUUUAUUGAAUGUACAUUGUGAGAAUUUCUAAUAUUUCAAUCUGCAAAGGGGCAGUUCGAAAAUUUCAAUACCACAGGCCAUAAAAUGUGUAUCUACGUACAUCUCUUUUUAUAUAUUCAUAUAGUAACUGAAGCUAUUUUUAUAUUUCCAGCUUAUGUUGAAGGAUAUUCUUCCACUACUGGAAUAGAGACGAGGCGCAAUUUACGUGGAGGGGGUGGUAAAGGUGGUGGAGGGGGUGGUAAAGGUGGUGG
rnacentral:lncRNA from 1 species